GAUGAAGAACGUAGCGAAAUGCGAUAAGUAGUGUGAAUUGCAGAAUUCAGUGAAUCAUCGAAUCUUUGAACGCACAUUGCGCCCCUCGGUAUUCCGUGGGGCAUGCCUGUUCGAGCGUCAUCUACACCCUCAAGCUCUGCUUGGUGUUGGGCGUCUGUCCCACCUCCGCGCGUGGACUCGCCCCAAAUUCAUUGGCAGCGGUCCUUGCCUCCUCUCGCGCAGCACAUUGCGCUUCUCGAGGGGCUACGGCUCGCGUCCAACAAGCACAUUUACCGUCUUUGACCUCGGAUCAGGUAGGGAUACCCGCUGAACUUAAGCAUAUCAAUAAGCGGAGGA
rnacentral:misc_RNA from 1 species